AUCUCAAUGCACUGAACUAGUUAUUCCAACAAAUUAUUUGUAUUGUUCUUCAGGACAAGGCAGGCUCUGUAGCUGCUCUUGUGAAGACUCAUAGGUUGGGAGGGGUCUGCUCCUUGCUUCUGUUGCUGUGAGACUUCACGGCACAGCUGAAAGGAGUUAUCAGCGACCAUUCAUGGGUCCUGGUGCCAGUGGUAGUUUUUUCCCCAGGAUUUAGCAACCUAAAGCACAAUCCCUAGCCUCUGUUCAAGAGCCAGGAAUAGUGGAAAUGCAACCUUCCAGGAGGCAAAAGGGUUCCAAGAACUGGAAUUGCUUGGCUUCUUACAUCACUGCCAAUCAGAUGGGCUGCCCUUCACACUGCAGCACUUGCAGCACCAAAUAUCCUG